UAAGACGAAAACCAAUGGGAAGAGAUCACUCGGAUAGCUGACGUGGCGUAUUCUCUCACCACAGGAUCAAAUUAUUUGGUUUUCAUCUCACCCUUCUUCCCUUAAUUACGAGUUUCCGUAAUUAUUAUGUUCUUUCUUUUAAUCUCUCUGUCAUUUCCUUAACCUCUCCAUAUUCCCUUAAUUACUUCUGUCCCUUACCUUUCCCGAUGACAAAAGAACCGGCUCAACUCCAAUCUUCCUCUCUCUCACGAUGAAGAAAGCAAACGGUGGGAAACCGAAUUAACUCACCUUUCUCUCAGAUUAUGUCAAAGCUUUUAAGGGAUUCUAUUAAGCUUUUUUUUUGAAAACUCUAUAACACUCUUGAUUUCUGUAUUUUUUAAGUAGUAGUGAUUUGUUACUGAAGAUAUAGGAAAUCUACAACGAGAGAGAUGGAGACGCUGGCUCUUUUCUUCCAUCACGCAUGUGGAGAUCUAUAGCGACCGAACGAGAUAAAGAUACACAUUGCUGUUCGUGUAUGGCUACUUUGGUAAACGAGGAAGCUUGAUUAUUGAAGAAGAAGAAGAAGUUCGAGAGUUGCAUUGUGUUUUUAUUUUUUGUUUUUUGUUCGACAUGGGCUCAUAGGCCUAUUGGGUAUAUAAGAAGAGAAGUUUCGGUAGUAGAAUUGUUUUGUAUUCUGAUUUUUUUUUUAAUUACAAAUAUAUAAUUAACAUA